UUUGCGUUAGGGAUUGCAGCGGCAUCCUUUUUAAAAACUUAAAUGUAUUAAUUUGAUAAAGAACUUGUGUGUAUGGGAUUGACACGUCGCUCACUCCUCGGAAAGAUGCGUUUUUUAAAAGAUAUAGCGGAAAGCCCGACCGCGC
rnacentral:sRNA from 1 species